GUGUUUGCUUUAGUAGCACAUAUAUAAAAAAUUAGAAUAAUACUGAAAAGAUUAGCAUGGCCCCUGCCCAAGGAUGACACACAAAUUUGUGAAGCCUUCCAUAUUUUU
rnacentral:snRNA from 1 species